UACGUAGGGGGCAAGCGUUGUUCGGAAUUACUGGGCGUAAAGGGCGCGUAGGCGGCAGGCCAAGUCGGGAGUGAAAGCCCGGGGCUCACCCCGGAAUGUCUUUCGAAACUGGCCAGCUGGAGUGCGGAAGAGGCAACUGGAAUUCCCAGUGUAGCGGUGAAAUGCGUAGAUAUUGGGAAGAACACCUGAGGCGAAGGCGGGUUGCCUGGGCCGACACGUGACGCUGAGGCGCGAAAGCCAGGGGA
rnacentral:rRNA from 1 species